AUGCUCACUUAAGCAGCAUAUAUACUAAAAUUUGAACAAUAUAGAGAAGAUUAGCAUGACCCCUGUGCAAGGAUGAUGCAAAAUUUAUGAAGCAUUCCAUAUUUUG
ensembl:snRNA U6 U6 spliceosomal RNA